AGCCGGUGAUGACAGUAUAAAUUUUUCUGACACCUCGUAUGAGAGCAUCCAGCUCCUGAUUCAAAGUUUUUAUCUGAGGCUA
ensembl:snoRNA